rnacentral:hammerhead_ribozyme from 1 species
GCACUGCUGAAGAGUCCAAAACUAGGACGAAACAGCUGUCAGGUAC